CGUCACCAAAUACCUGAUUAAAACAGUAGUCUCAAUAGCACCUUCUAGGGUAGCGCCACGGUAUAGCCGGAGGACAGCUAUUUUCUUUCCUUUUCUGCGUACAUUGAAUUCAAUACAAUACCUAUGUGGCUCGUGCUCCUCAACCCCCCUUCAUAGACCUACAGUACAUGGUAAUUAUGAUGAAUUCCGGAGGACGUCCUUCAACCAAUCAAAGCUAUUGCUGAAUGAACUGACAUGUCCAUCCAAGCAAAGGAUCAGAAAAUGUACCUAGUACUACACAUGUGUGAUUUAGAAGCUUGCCGAGUUGGUGACAUUGCAGGAUAUAUUGAGAUAUUGAAUAGUUAUUUAGCAUUUUUACAAUAUUAUUCCAUUCAAAUUAGUUUCUUCAAUCUAUAGAAGACGGAGCAGGCAGAUUAUAUAUUGUUUUCUUGGUUUUAGAACUACAUUUUUUUGUAGCAUUAGGGCCAUUUAUUUAAAUUUGCCCUGCUAACUUUACUACUAGAGUGCAGUUUUUUCCACCAGAACGGCUAGAUAACGACAAUGUAGUGAUUUUUUUGUUGAAGAAGCCCUUUCAUUGCCCACAUCAGAUUCUGCAUAUUCAACCUGUGCAACACAACUAGAAGGUUGGAGAAACAGGGGUACUGCAUUUUUGUGCAUGUAAGAGUUGGCAUUGGUACAGGCCACCAGCCAUUGACACCAGGAAGGGUGGGGCCAUGGACUGCUUACGCCAAAUCCUGACUCUCGGCGUAAUGCCUCAAGAACCCAGGAUUCGUCGAGCCAGGCAAUGUUUUUUCACUCCUCAAUUGUACAAUGUUGGUGAUCGUGUUCCCACUGGAGCCACUUCUUGUUUUUAGCUGAUAAGAGUGGAACCUGGUGUUGUCGUCUGCUGCAAUAGCCCAUCUAUUAUGAUGAGUUGUGCAUUCCGAGAUGUCGUUCUGCACACCACUGUUGUACAGCGCCAUUAUUUGCCGGUUUGUGGUCCGCCUAUUAGCUUGCACAAUUCUUGCCAUUCUCCUUUGACCUCUGUCAUCUACAAGCGGUUUUUGCCCACAGGACUGUCGCUGACUGGAUGUUUUUGUUUGUCGCACCAUUCUCGGGGAAACCCUAGACACUGUCGUGCAUGAAAACCCAAAGAGGCCAGACGUUUCUGAGAUACGACGCGCCUGGCGCCAACAAUCAUACCACACGCAGUGGCUUAAGUCAUUCAUUUUCCCCAUUCUAACGUUCAAUCAAACAGUAACUGAAUUCCUCGAUGCCUGCUUUAUAUAGCAAGCCACGGUCACGUGACUCACUGUCGGAGCGAACCAUUAUUAUGAACGGAGUGGUGUACCUAAUAAACUGGCCACAGUGUACAAUGAUAAACAAUAUGGCUGUAUUUAAAUGUGUAAAUAGUGUUAUUAACUUAAUAUAAUGGAUAUAAUAUUAUUUUAUGUGUACUGUAGCUCUGUUAACUGUAUUUAGUAAUAAUAUGAUAUAAUGUUGUAUUAGGAGUUGUGUUGACUGUGACUCUUCCUUCGGAGGCCAGAACAGACAGUAAAAUGUGUCCAGUUCUCACUAGGUUAUGUUUAUAGAGGAAGAUGUCAAAUUCUACCUAGCAGAGCUGGCUCUGGCCCUCGACCACCUGCACCAUCUUGGCAUAGUUUACAGAGACCUCAAACCAGAGAUGUAUUUUGUGGGACGAAGCAAGGGGACAAGAUGAGGGAAAGUUCCGCUAACAAGGGCAACUACUAGGAGCUUGCAGAGGCACUGUGUCACGGCCGUCGUUCAAGGAAGACCAAGGUGCAGCGUGUCAAAUCCUGUCCUCAUUGGAAGAGUUGAGUUCUUCUCCAACACCAUCCAUGAUGAUCUUGUCCUGCACUGAAUCCUCUGAACAUAUCAACCCAGGUCCUGCACUGAAGUCAAGCCUCUGAACACCUUAACUCAUGCUUCAUACCCUCAUUCAAAUCACUGCUGUGAUCCCUUCCCAACAUGGCAUCCACAGAUGAUGCAAACUCAAUUGCGCUUCACACUGCUACAACAGGAGUUCCCUGACCCUGGUGUCCCGUAUACAACAGGAGUUCCCUGACCCUGGUGUCCCGUAUACAACAGGAGUUCCCUGACCCUGAUGUCCCGUAUACAACAGGAGUUACCUGACCCUGGUGUCCCGUAUACAACAGGAGUUCCCUGACCCUGGUGCAGAAUACACAAGAGACAUCAAUAUCAAGCCUGUCUGUCAGUCUGGACUCCAUCUUGCAAGUCUCCAAGUGCUGGCUCCGGAGAUGCAUUUGUGAACACAAACAGUACACAGUCACUGUUCUAUUACCAAUGGCAGUUAGGAUAGGUGAUAUCUGACAAAGAAACAUAUACAAUGUUGAAGUUUGAACAGGUCAGACUAAACCUACCU